GAAAGAUCUGUUUUGGAGGUUGCUCUGCUUGGAGUCUUCUCAGUGAGCCUGAAACAAGGGUAUGGUCUUCUCUCCUUAAAACCCUGCAAGUCAUCUGAUUUUCAUGGAUACAAAUAAAAGUGUGACACUUCAGUGCAGUGUGAUGUGAUCACCCCAGAGGAUCACUGUAUUGUCUUCCAAUCCAACCUUUGUGAUUGUGUUCCAAUAUUUAGGUUUAAAAACUCUGAAUUAAUGCAGCUGGUUGUGGGAACAGUUAAUAGUAGGGCUUUUGGAAGACAGAGAAUGUGUGAUCAUAUCUACCAAUUAUGCGUUUCACAUAUAUGUGAUAUACGUUUUAAAUGUCUUUUUAAAAACCUAACCACAAGUGGGAAUGGAUUUCAGAGGAAGAGAAAGCAGUCAGGCUUUUCUAUAAACAUUGCUGAAGAUGUGGGGACCUGCAUAAAGGAGAUGGUAUGUCUUUGGAGGAAUGUUGUCAGGAGCUAAAGUGAAAUCACAAUGACUGGGAGACUGAAUUUGCGAGAUUAAUAUGGGAAUACAAAAAAAAAAACCAGGGCAGACUGCUUAACAGAGAAAUUGGCAGAUGUGAAAAGAUAAUGAAACUUUCUCCUUACUUUCAAAUUGUCUCACAGAAUUAAUUCAGUGCAUUUAUAAAAUUAUUGCUAUUUUGUGUUAAAAAAAAUCAGUAGGAAUUAUUCAUUAAUUUUUCUGUGUUAUUAAUACAUGGCUGGAUAUCAUGAAUACUGAGGUGGGUGAUGACACAAUUAUGUACAGAAUUCCUAGCUUAAUUUUUGUUGAGAGUUAGCCUCAUUUUAUACUUAUAAGAAUGCAUGCAAGCUCUUCCCAUACUUUCA